rnacentral:rRNA from 1 species
CCCUUAUCGUUAAUUGCCAGCAUUCAGUUGGGCACUUUAAGAGACUGCCGGUGUUUAAACCGGAGGAAGGUGGGAUGACGUCAAGUCCUCAUGGCCUUUAUGCUUAGGGCUACACACGUGCUACAAUGGGUGGUACAAAGAGAAGCCAACUCGCGAGAGCGCGCCAAUCUCAAAAAGCCAUCCUCAGUUCGGAUUGGAGUCUGCAACUCGACUCCAUGAAGUUGGAAUCGCUAGUAAUCGCGGAUCAGCAUGCCGCGGUGAAUAUGUUCCCGGGCCUU